rnacentral:rRNA from 1 species
AGUGGACGCAUCACUGGUGUUCGGGUUGUCAUGCCAAUGGCACUGCCCGGUAGCUAAAUGCGGAAGAGAUAAGUGCUGAAAGCAUCUAAGCACGAAACUUGCCCCGAGAUGAGUUCUCCCUGACUCCCUGAGAGUCCUCAAGGAACGUUGAAGACGACGACGUUGAUAGGCCGGGUGUGUAAGCGCAGCGAUGCGUUGAGCUAACCGGUACUAAUGAACCGUGAGGCUUAACCUUACAACGCCGAAGGUGUUU